CUGCAUUACCUCGCAGAUUUACAGCAAAGUGUGAGAUUUGACCGGGAAACCUGGCGUCAGAGAAGACAAAACCUUUUUUUGCGGGAAUUGGUUUUGGCAUGUUGCGGCUCUUUUAACUGUGGAUUUUGGUGACCUUUUGUUACAGAAGGCACCACUGUUUCACCAGGCGGACAGCGGACGGCCUUUGGCCGGCAAGCGAAGCAGUAUGUUGUAUUGUGUUCGAACGGCUAGAUCUGGUUGAUUUUGAGGCGAGCGGUUGCGGAGCGUGAGUCUCUGCGGGCUCGUUAGGUUAGGCAGCCCACACAAGCAGCCUUUUCCAGGGAAGAAGAACAUUCUGAUCAGGAACGCCUGAGAGACAUGGAUGCGAUUCCAGCACCGGUACCUGCUCCAAGUUGCGUGCGUUGAGAAUAAUCCGCCCCACCGAGCUCCGCCCGCCGAUCGCCACGUCGUAACCGACGAAUGGGGGGAUGUAUGUAUGUAUGUAUGUAUAUAUGUAGGAAAGGGAGGGAGGGCUCUAUGGCAUACAUUCGACCGGUCACCGAUUGGAAUGGAAUACAAAGUUUAACGCACUGAACUACACAACAAGCCUUACCAGGUAUAAGAAGUUUCUUGUCCUUUCGAUAUCUGGUUCAGUGAAGCGAGACCAGACCUGCCUGCUGAGAUGCUGUAUACUACUGUGCUGGGCGGUGCACGCACACACCAGCGAACACUGUUACGGCUCUAGAUCGCCGUGUCAACUCCAGCCAGCCAGUACUCCAUCGUAUUUAAGAGGCACUGAAGGGAAUCGGCGCGAGUACGCAAUGAUUUUGAAACAUCAGAAAACUUAAGGGUCAUCUCACCGUCAGGACUGCUGCACGGUUAGUAGAAUUGCACCGUUGAUACGAGCGCGGCGGCUAUUGACCAUCGGCGGAUUGGCCGAUUGUGAUGGCCGCACCGUUUCGCAAAAACACAGACACGCAACGGAGACUAAGUCGAUUAGUAAAACCCAUGUAUAUUGAUGCAGAUCUUUGUAGGUGGACACACAGCACAACGGCUGCUUUGCGACACUUAGACUUUGCACAACAGAAUGCGGGAGGAGAAACUGGUUCUGCCUUUAGAUGUUGGAAAGCUCCUGAACUGGAAAGAAAAUGGCAGCAGCUCGCGCAUUACAAAAAGAUUGCACAGUGGCA
rnacentral:lncRNA from 1 species